rnacentral:rRNA from 1 species
AAUAGCUCACUAGUCGAGUGACACUGCGCCGAAAAUGUACCGGGGCUAAACAUAUUACCGAAGCUGUGGAUUGUCCUUUGGACAAUGGUAGGAGAGCGUUCUAAGGGCGUUGAAGCAUGAUCGUAAGGACAUGUGGAGCGCUUAGAAGUGAGAAUGCCGGUGUGAGUAGCGAAAGACGGGUGAGAAUCCCGUCCACCGAUUGACUAAGGUUUCCAGAGGAAGGCUCGUCCGCUCUGGGUUAGUCGGGUCCUAAGCUGAGGCCGACAGGCGUAGGCGAUGGAUAACAGGUUGAUAUUCCUGUACCACCUAUAAUCGUUUUAAUCGAUGGGGGGACGCAGUAGGAUAGGCGAAGCGUGCGAUUGGAUUGCACGUCUAAGCAGUAAGGCUGAG